rnacentral:tRNA from 1 species
GACAGGGACCACCCGCGGAGGACUACAGCGCGCCCGGACAGGCCAGGCCGUCCCGCUCCCGCCCAC